rnacentral:lncRNA from 1 species
GGAAAUGACAAGCCUACUACUCACCUACCAUGAACAAAAAUAAGAAACACCUGUUAUCUUGUUGUUCUUACUUAAUUUACUUCCUCUGGCCCACUUUGUUUCUUUGCCUUCAUUUUGAAGACCUGAGAUGAACAGUAGUGAGGUCCUUGGUUGUUUUUUUUUUUUAACAUUUAUGAUUAAAGAAAUGUGCUCCUGCAGCACCACCUGCUCACCCUACCUCCUUCCAGGCAGGCAGAAGUAGUGGGAUUCAGGCCCCAAGGCCCUCUUCCUUCCCUCUUGCAUGGUUCAGAGUCCCAGCAUGUGCUGAAGCCAUGGUCAGAGGGGAGAUGUGGGAGUGGUACUGGGGAAUAAGCAUUUCCAGAUCAGGUUGUAACGUUGUGCGUCUGGAGGCCUUCUGGUCAUUGCGUGAGGUUAGAGUAAAAGUCUGCAUAGGAGGGGAGCUGCUGCAGAAGUCCCUGGGGAAGCUCUCCCAAGCUUCAGUGAUCUGUGCUUCGCUGAUUUUUCCUUUGGUUUUUGACGACGAACAACUCUAUUUUGCAAGUGUUACUUUUUUUUCCUCUUACGAAUUCUUGAUAUUUUGCAUUAGAAAUUACAUGUACUUUGAACCUUCAUCUUCCACAGAUUUUUACUUUGACCACUGGUUUACAAUUGAAAAAACAACAGCACUACAGUAUUUUAAAACUUUUUAAAUUCAAAUAAAAAAAAAUAUUUUGUGUAUGUUAAGUCCUUG